UUUUUGAACGCUAUUUAAUGAGUUGUCAUUGACAUUUCCUUGAAAUAUAACCUCUAAAUUACUACAAGUUGUGAUAUUUUGCAAAACAUAACUAUAAUAACAAUUUGUAAAAAUGCGUUGCACAUAAUAGCAGAUACAUGAUGGAUCCUGAGACGACAAACGAGAAUUUAUUUAAAUUGCAGUGUUUAAUUAAAACCACCGAGAUACAGCAUAGUGUACAAUGCAAACUUGAAAGAAAAUUAUUUUUUGCAUUGG